rnacentral:lncRNA from 1 species
UACUUUGUCCUAUUCCAUUCUGUUUAUAUUCUAUUCACUUUUCAUGCUAUGAUAUGAUGAUGUGGUAUGAUGUGGCCUUUAUGUAUUCUUCCCAUUGUAUCACAAUUUCACUAUUCAAUUCUGCUCUAUUUUCCGUAUUAUAAUUUUCAAUAUUAUAUGAUACUAUUCUGUUCGCUAUAUUCAAUUUUUAUUUUGUUCAUUGCCAUUCCAUUCUAUUCCAUUGGAUAUUCUAUUCUAUUAUCUUGUACUGUGUAUUUCCUUAACAACUUCCUACAGAUACAGACACCGUACCGCCCGUGUACUCUCAAGAUCCGAAUAUGAUGGGAAGACCAGGUGAGCUUUUGAUGUGAAGUCUUUAGGGGUUGCAUGUACAACUAGUUUCAUACUAUAAUAGUAUGUUCGGGUUCUAGAUUGGGCCAUCGAGUCAACGGGGAUUGCUAGUGAGUCUUGUCCAAUUUAAGUACACGAAAUAUUUUCGCAAUGACUUAACGCUUGGGG